GUAGGGUGAGAAUCCCUGCCACGUUUUUGGUCAGUUUCGCCGGGGCUCAUGUCUUUCCUCGAGGGAGCAUUAGUGUCUACAGAAAAACUGACAAAUCCUAGCGAAGUCCAAUCCGAACCACAUCUUCCAUCAGAGGUGGUGCUGGGUCAGCUGGUUACUGAACGGAUUGGCCUGGAGAAUGGCAUAGUCCUGUUACUCUCAAGUUAACCAUAGAGGGGGACAGGCGCUGUUCGCUCACGGCUGGUUCUUGGAGCCAACACCCUCAGCCCCACAUAAGUGGGAGCACUGUCGGUGGUGGCUCACCCAGAUAACGGACAGUGUCUCUCCUUCUUUCUUCUUGGACUUGCAUUGUUGCUGGCGAGUCAGCCAGUAGCAAUGCAGCAUCUCACUCACUCAAUCACCUCGUCAAUUCGGUCCUUUUUUCAUUUGCAUUACUUUCGCUCAUUCUCCUGUCAUAAUGCAUUCUCUGCUACCAUAAUGCCUUUCUUACCACGGUGUAACGCAUGUUACACCUUGCGUCUUUCUCUAACACCAUCAUCAUUUCAGCAACCUUGGAAUUUCAACCCUACACAGGUACACAGCACUAUGGAUAUCCACUCUCCACUCUACGGCGAACACAAAGCUAGAGAUCUAAUUAGGAUUCGAGUACCCCGGCUACCCUUGUGACAUACAUACGUGGAAACCAGUUUAAGCAGCAGUACAUCGACACAAUGGAUCAGCACUACGAAAUCUGAUAUCUGCAUCAUACUACUCCGAUCCAGAAAUCUUCGCUAAACCAUCACAUGAGAUGAAUAACUACAAGUUGGACUCCACAUAACAUUAUUCCUUGUUCUGAUCAGUCAAUAAAUGUAAUCUGCAUCAAUUUUCCAAUAAUUACAUCUUCUUACUAGUUUAUUUUCCCUCUCAGGGCUGGAACGCAAUGUUACAGCCCACUUUAUAAAUUACUAAAACUCGAGUUAUUCCAGAUUGACGACUUGACACAGAUAUUCAUCAAACAACCUAAAUAAAGGACUCCCACUCUCCAAACCAGUAGAGAUCCAAUCACUGCCUCCAGGGUACCCCUUCAUCCGGUAUUAGCAGUUCCUCCACCACCACCAGGUUGAUCUGAUUAGUAAACUCAAGGAAGAUGAUACCAGAUCAGUCCCGAACUUCGCCUCAGCAUCAUACUCUGCCUAGUGUCGAUAAAGAGGAUUCACAAACAAUCGAGAUUCACUUACAAAUAUUUGCUAUUACUUUUUACAAUUGCAGUUA